AAACCCCUAAUCUUCUUCAUCGCCAAAACUCACUGAUUUUUCUUCAUCUUUGAUGUCAUGUUCUCAAAUAUGGCAUUGGAUUCUCCUAGUUCCAAGCUUAAACCCUCCAAAUCAGACUAAACUUUGAACCCUAAAUUUCAAAAAAAAUCCUAAAUUGAACGCCAUUCUUGAAGCUAAUUAACAAGUCAUAUUGGAUCUACGAUUAUACACACAGAUGCACACGAAAUGGCAUGGGAAAAACGUGAAGAGAAUGGUUCAAAGUACUGGUUCGACGAUGCCGGCGAGUCUCUUCGAUAUUUGUUGUCGGGAGGACAAGAAGGAUGUUGGGCGCUUUGCUAUGGUUGUUGAGAGUCUGUGGAAUAACCGGAAUAAUAUUGUUUGGAAUGAUAACAGGGAAGACCUUGCGAGAAUUGGAAUCCAAGCUUAUUACAAUUGGCUUGAUUGGUUUAAUGCUCGGGAUGACCCUGCUUAGAAUAGUGAUCCUCAGCUCCCUAUGGUUUGGAACCCACCUGCUGAAGGGUGGUUGAAGUGUAAUGUUGACGCAGGUUUUAAUAAUCAUCAUCACACUACAAAUAGGGUGUGGUGUCUUCGUGAUAAUUUGGGGAGAUUUCUUGUUGCAGGUGUCGCUUGGGAUAAAGGUAUCACUUCUCCUAUAGAAGCUAAAGCUUUGGCGCUGAAGGAGGCAAUUCAGAUUGCUAUUAACAAGAACUUAAAUAAUGUGAUUUUUGAAAGUGGUUCCCAAGUGGUAACUCAUGCUGUUAAUUCUACGGUUACUGGGAAGUCGGAGUUUAAUAUUAUUAUUAUUGUUAUACAGAGAUUGUUGAGUCUUGUUACAAACUUUGAGGUAAAGUUUAUUAAGCGCCAAGCGAAUAUGGUUGCCGACUCUUUAGUUAAGGCGGCCAAUUCUUGGUCUAGGCGUAGUUUCGUUAAUGUUGCACCUCCUUGUAUUGACAUUUAUUUGGUUAAUGAUAUGAGUUAAAUUUGUUCCUGUAAAAAAAACGUGAAAUAUAAAGUUUUUGGAACCUACAUGUAUCGUGAAAUGCAUUUCAUGCGGCCGCGAAGGCAGCUACAUGCAUCGUGAGAGGCAAUCGCGACAGUGAUGUGCGCGUUCUGUUCUCGUGAAAUGCUUCUAAGCGGCCGCUUCCCUCCGCACCGCCGCGAAAACACCGAUUAUGACCGCGAUUAACUACUUAGUCUCAAUUUUGUAAAAUGUCUGAUUUAUCAUGCUUUUCUAUAGCAAUAAACUAAUCUUAGUUAAGAAAUUUAUGUAACCUAGAAACUAAUUGUAACUGAUUUUGUAAUUGUAGUUGUAAGCUUAAUUAAACAAUGUCAACUAAAAAGGGAAGCAUGGAUAGUGGAUCUGUAAGGAAACAUAUGAAACCUGCUGAGGAAAAGAAUGGAGAUGAAGCAGUACAAGAAAAGAUCGAGUUCAAUGAUUGGGUCAUCACACCUAUGGGAACUCAAUGUUCUAUCAUAUUCACAUAAUGAUAAUUGCUGGGGUAAUGGAGCAUCAGAUUUCUAAUCAGUUUGCUUCCCAAACCUGUCUCGUAAAUAUUUCUUACUGGGGAACGCAGGUUUUGCAAAACUGCGUUGAUUGUCAAAUUUAGGGAGUUGUUGAUUUGGAAACUGCCUACGAAAUUCUUUGUAAAAAA